CUCAAAUCACGGUCCUCAAGGUCCGAGCCCUGAAAUAUAUCAGCAGAGCUUUUAGUGCUGGGCUACUCAAAUCACGGUCCUCAAGGUCCGAGCCCUGAAAUAUAUCAGCAGAGCUUUCAGUGCUGGGCUACUCAAAUCACGGUUCUCAAGGUCCGAGCCCUGAAAUAUAUCAGGAGAGCUUUCAGUGCUGGGCUACUCAAAUCACGGUCCUCAAGGUCCGAGCCCUGAAAUAUAUCAGCAGAGCUUUCAGUGCUGGGCUACUCAAAUCACGGUCCUCAAGGUCCGAGCCCUGAAAUAUAUCAGGAGAGCUUUCAGUGCUGGGCUACUCAAAUCACGGUCCUCAAGGUCCGAGCCCUGAAAUAUAUCAGCAGAGCUUUCAGUGCUGGGCUACUCAAAUCACGGUCCUCAAGGUCCGAGCCCUGAAAUAUAUCAGCAGAGCUUUCAGUGCUGGGCUACUCAAAUCACGGUCCUCAAGGUCCGAGCCCUGAAAUAUAUCAGCAGAGCUUUCAGUGCUGGGCUACUCAAAUCACGGUCCUCAAG